UACGGGGGGAGCAAGCGUUGUUCGGAUUUACUGGGCGUAAAGGGCGCGUAGGCGGUCGUGACAAGUCACUUGUGAAAUCUCCGGGCUUAACUCGGAACGGUCAAGUGAUACUGUCGGACUAGAGUACAGAAGGGGCAACUGGAAUUCUCGGUGUAGCGGUGAAAUGCGUAGAUAUCAGGAGGAAUACCGGUGGCGAAGGCGGCAUCCUGGACCGACAUUGACGCUGAUGAGCGAAAGCUAGGGGAGCAAACGGG
rnacentral:rRNA from 1 species